AUUGAACGCUGGCGGCAGGCCUAACACAUGCAAGUCGAGCGGAUGAAGGGAGCUUGCUCCUGGAUUCAGCGGCGGGCGGGUGAGUAAUGCCUAGGAAUCUGCCUGGUAGUGGGGGAUAACGUCCGGAAACGGGCGCUAAUACCGCAUACGUCCUGAGGGAGAAAGUGGGGGAUCUUCGGACCUCACGCUAUCAGAUGAGCCUAGGUCGGAUUAGCUAGUUGGUGGGGUAAAGGCCUACCAAGGCGACGAUCCGUAACUGGUCUGAGGGGAUGAUCAGUCACACUGGAACUGAGACACGGUCCAGACUCCUACGGGAGGCAGCAGUGGGGAAUAUUGGACAAUGGGCGAAAGCCUGAUCCAGCCAUGCCGCGUGUGUGAAGAAGGUCUUCGGAUUGUAAAGCACUUUAAGUUGGGAGGAAGGGCAGUAAGUUAAUACCUUGCUGUUUUGACGUUACCAACAGAAUAAGCACCGGCUAACUUCGUG
rnacentral:rRNA from 1 species